ACGAACGCUGGCGGCGUGCUUAACACAUGCAAGUCGAGCGGUAAGGCCUUUCGGGGUACACGAGCGGCGAACGGGUGAGUAACACGUGGGUGAUCUGCCCUGCACUUCGGGAUAAGCCUGGGAAACUGGGUCUAAUCCCGGAUAUGACCUCCUAUCGCAUGGUGGGUGGUGGAAAGAUUUAUCGGUGCCGGCUGGGCCCGCGGCCUAUCAGCUUGUUGGUGGGGUAAUGGCCGACCAAGGCGACGACGGGUAGCCGACCUGGGAGGGUGACAGGCCACACUGGGACUGAGACACGGCCCAGACUCCUACGGGAGGCAGCAGGGGGGAAUAUUGCACAAUGGGCGAAAGCCGGAUGCAGCGACGCCGCGUGAGGGAUGACGGCCGUCGGGUUGUAAACCGCGUUCAGCAGGGACGAAGCGCAAGUGACGGUACCUGCAGAAGAAGCACCGGCUAACUACGU
rnacentral:rRNA from 1 species